rnacentral:rRNA from 1 species
CCUACGGGUGGCUGCAGUCGAGAAUCAUUCACAAUGGGGGAAACCCUGAUGGUGCGACGCCGCGUGGGGGAAUGAAGGUCUUCGGAUUGUAAACUCCUGUCACGUGGGAGCAAAUUAUAAAGAUAGUACCACAAGAGGAAGAGACGGCUAACGCUGUGCCAGCAGCCGCGGUAAUACAGAGGGCUCAAGCGUUGUUCGGAAUCACUGGGCGUAAAGCGUGCGUAGGCUGUUUCGUAAGUCGUGUGUGAAAGGCGCGGGCUCAACCCGCGGACGGCACAUGAUACUGCGGGACUAGAGUAAAGGAGGGGGAACCGGAAUUCUCGGUGUAGCAGUGAAAUGCGUAGAUAUCGGGAGGAACACUAGUGGCGAAGGCGGGUUGCUGGACAUUAACUGACGCUGAGGCACGAAGGCCAGGGGAGCGAAAGGGAUUAGAUACCCGAGUAGUC